ACUGGGACUGAGACACGGCCCAGACUCCUACGGGAGGCAGCAGUGGGGAAUUUUCCGCAAUGGGCGCAAGCCUGACGGAGCAAUACCGCGUGAGGGAGGAAGGCCUUUGGGUUGUAAACCUCUUUUCUUAAGGAAGAAGAUCUGACGGUACUUAAGGAAUCAGCAUCGGCUAACUCCGUGCCAGCAGCCGCGGUAAUACGGAGGAUGCAAGCGUUAUCCGGAAUUAUUGGGCGUAAAGCGUCCGCAGGCGGCAUUAUAAGUCUGCUGUCAAAGACCGCAGCUCAACUGCGGAAAGGCAGUGGAAACUGUAAAGCUAGAGUACGGUAGGGGUAGAGGGAAUUCCCAGUGUAGCGGUGAAAUGCGUAGAUAUUGGGAAGAACACCAGUGGCGAAAGCGCUCUACUGGGCCGUAACUGACGCUCAGGGACGAAAGCUAGGGGAGCGAAAGGGAUUAGAUACCCCUGUAGUCCUAGCUGUAAACGAUGGAUACUAGGCGUAGCUUGUAUCGACCCGAGCUGUGCCGAAGCUAACGCGUUAAGUAUCCCGCCUGGGGAGUACGCACGCAAGUGUGAAACUCAAAGGAAUUGACGGGGGCCCGCACAAGCGGUGGAGUAUGUGGUUUAAUUCGAUGNCACGCGAAGAACCUUACCAGGGCUUGACAUGUCGCGAAUCUAGGGGAAACUUUAGAGUGCCU
rnacentral:rRNA from 1 species